ensembl:lncRNA
CUUUUUUCUACCCCCUUUUGAAUUAUUAAUAAAGAACUGGGGCAAGAGAAAGGCUACAGAACAUGUGAAGAGUAAAUGAGAGAGAGCAUGAGGGAGUGAAUGAGAGAGUAAAUGACAGAGCGAAUGUAAGAACAAAUGUGAGAGCAAAUGAGAGAGCAUGAGAAGAGCACGUGAAGAGUGAGUGGAGAGAGAAAGUGAUAGUGAAUGAGGGAGCUAAUGAGAGAGCGAGUCUGAGAACAAACGUGAGAGCCAGGGAGAGAGCAUGGGGAGAGCAUGUGAGAAUGAGUGAGGAGAGAACGUGAGGUGUGUGUGAAGACUGUGUGUGUGCGUGACAGGAGAGUGCAUGUGCUGUGUGUGAGAUAUGUGUGAGGUGUGUAUGAAGAGUGUGUGUGUGCGUGACAGGAGAGUGCAUGUGCUGUGUGUGAGAUAUGUAUGAGGUGUGUGUGAAGACUGUGUGUGUGCGUGACAGGAGAGUGCAUGUGGUGUGUGUGAGAUGUGUGAGGUGUGUGUGAAGACUGUGUGUGUGCGUGACAGGAGAGUGCAUGUGCUGUGUGUGAGAUAUGUGUGAGGUGUGUAUGAAGAGUGUGUGUGUGUGUGACAGGAGAGUGCAUGUGGUGUGUGUGAGAUGUGUAUGAGGUGUGUAUGAAGAGUGUGUGUGUGCGUGACAGGAGAGUGCAUGUGGUGUGUGUGAGAUAUGUAUGAGGUGUGUAUGAAGAGUGUGUGUGUGCGUGACAGGAGAGUGCAUGUGGUGUGUGUGAGAUAUGUAUGAGGUGUGUAUGAAGAUUGUGUGUGUGCGUGACAGGAGAGUGCAUGUGGUGUGUGUGAGAUGUGUAUGAGGUGUGUAUGAAGAGUGUGUGUGUGCGUGACAGGAGAGUGCAUGUGGUGUGUGUCAGAUAUGUAUGAGGUGUGUGUGAAGACUGUGUGUGUGUGUGACAGGAGAGUACAUGUGGUGUGUGUGAGAUAUGUGUGAGCUGUGUAUGAAGAUUGUGUGUGUGCGUGACAGGAGAGUGCAUGUGUUGUGUGUGAGAUAUGUAUGAGGUGUGUAUGAAGAGUGUGUGUGUGCGUGACAGGAGAGUGCAUGUGGUGUGUGUGAGAUAUGUAUGAGGUGUGUAUGAAGAGUGUGUGUGUGCGUGACAGGAGAGUGCAUGUGGUGUGUGUGAGAUAUGUGUGAGGUGUGUAUGAAGACUGUGUGUGUGCGUGACAGGAGAGUGCAUGUGGUGUGUGUGAGAUGUGUGAGGUGUGUGUGAAGAGUGUGUGUGUGCGUGACAGGAGAGUGCAUGUGCUGUGUGUGAGAUAUGUAUGAGGUGUGGAUUCGAAAAAUGUGGUACAUCUACACAAUGGAGUACCACUCAGCUAUCAAAAACAAUGACUACG